UGUUCCCACGAGCUAGAGACAGGAUGC
rnacentral:piRNA from 1 species